GCGAGGGUAGCCAAGCCUGGUCAACGGCGCGGGACUCAAGAUCCCGUCCUUUAGUGGUUCGGGCGUUCGAAUCGCCUCCCUCGCACCA
rnacentral:tRNA from 1 species